AACGAACGCUGGCGGCAUGCCUAACACAUGCAAGUCGAACGAGACCUUCGGGUCUAGUGGCGCACGUGUGCGUAACGCGUGGGAACCUGCCCUUAGGUUCGGAAUAACUCACCGAAAGGGGUGCUAAUACCGGAUAAGGUCUUCGGACCAAAGAUUUAUCGCCUUUGGGUGGGCCCGCGUUGGAUUAGCUAGUUGGUAGUGUAAAAGCCUACCAAGGCGACGAUCCAUAGCUGGUCUGAGAGGAUGCUCAUCCACACUGGGACUGCGACACGGCCCAGACUCCGACGGGAGGGAGCAGUGGGGAAUAUAGUACGAUGGGCGAAAGCCUGAUCCAGCAAUGCCGCGUGAGUGAUGAAGGCCUUAGGGUUGUAAAGCUCUUUUACCCGGGAUGAUAAUGACAGUACCGGGAGAAUAAGCACCGGCUAACUCCGUG
rnacentral:rRNA from 1 species